GGCAGACAGUUCCGUAACACGUCGAUAAUCUGCCCUUUAGUCUGGGAUAACCUUGGAAAACUGAGGCUAAUACCGGGUAGGAGACUGGUACUGGAAUGUUCUUUCUCCAAAAGGCAACGCUAAAGGAUGAGUCGGCGUCCGAUUAGGUAGUUGGUGGGGUAAUGGCCCACCAAGCCCGAGAUCGGUAGGGGCCCUGAGAGGGGUAGCCCCGAGGAGGACACUGAGAUAAGGGUCCUGACUCUACGGAGUAUAGCAAGCGCGAAACCUUUACACUACACGAAAGUGUGAUAAGGGGAUUCUGAGUGCUCAUGCAAUGCAUGAGCUUUUGCCGAGUGUAAACAGCUCGGAGAAUAAGUGGUGGGCAAGACUGGUGCCAGCAGCCGCGGUAACACCAGCGCCACUAGUGGGGACCAGUAUUAUUGGGCCUAAAGCGUCCGUAGCCGGUUCAGUAAAUCUUCUGUGAAAUUGUUUGGCUUAACCUGACAACGCGCAGGGGACACUGCUGGACUUGAGACCGGGAGGAGUUGGAGGUAUUCUUGGGGUAGCGGUAAAAUGCAAUAAUCCCAAGAGGACCACCUGUGGCGAAGGCGUCCAACCAGAACGGGUCUGACGGUGAGGGACGAAAGCUAGGGGAGCAAACCGGAUUAGAUACCCGAGUAGUCCUAGCCGUAAACGCUGUGUGCUAGGUGUUGCACUUUCUACGAGAAUGUGCAGUGUCGUAGUGAAGACGUUAAGCACACCGCCUGGGUAGUACGGUCGCAAGGCUGAAACUUAAAGGAAUAGGCGGGGGAGCACUACAAGGGGUGCGGCGUGCGGUUUAAUCCAACUCAACGCGGAGAAUCUCACCAGAGGCGACGGCAGGAUGAAAGUCAGGCUGAAGGUCUUACUUGACAAGCCGAGAGGUGGUGCAUGGCCGUCGUCAGCUCGUGCCGCGAGGUGUCCUGCUAAGCCAGGCAACGAGCGAGACCUGUGUCUAUAAUUGCUAACGGCAGAAUUUCUGGACUGAGCACAUUAUAGAGACUGCUGUGGAAACACAGAGGAAGGUGCAGGCAACGGUAGGUCUGUAUGCCCCGAAUCCUCUGGGCUACACGCGCGCAACAAUGGUAAGGACAAUGGGUUGCAACUCCGAAAGGAGAAGCUAAUCCUCAAAACCUUAUCUUAGUCCAGAUCGAGGGCUGUAACUCGCCCUCGUGACGUCGGAAUCCCUAGUAACCAGGCGUUAUCAUCACCCGGUGAAUAUGUCCCUGCUCCUUGCACUCACCGCCCGUCAAACCAACCGAGCAGGUUUUAGGUGAAACUUAGCUUCUUGGCUGAGUUGAAUCUAAGAUCAGUGAGGUGGGUUAAGUCGUCACAAGGUA
rnacentral:rRNA from 1 species